rnacentral:ncRNA from 2 species
GUAUCUUUGCGGCCGAUUGGUUCCCCAAGAGGCCCUUCAGGCCCUGUGGAUUAAAAGGGAAUCGGGUGCAAGUCCCGAACAGUCCCGCUGCUGUGAACCUCCGCCAAUCCUUCCGAACAUCACAUGCCACUGACCCCGCCCGGGGUCGGGAAGGCCUCGGAAGGAGGAGAAAGUCAGAAGACCUGCCAACGAAUUUUUACCGGU